AGGAACCGGAAGUGGGGGAGCCAAGCUUGGAGGGGAGGGGCCUCCAUCCACAUUCCCAGAAGAGGAGGAAAAAAGAGGAAGAGCUUCCUGACAGUAAGAGCUGUUCAACAGUGGAAUUUGCUACCAAGAAAUCUGGUGGAGUCUCCUCCUUUGGAGGUCUUCAAGCGGAGGCUUGACAGCCAUCUGUCAG